rnacentral:lncRNA from 1 species
UGCCUGGAGUGAAGAUUCUGCCCAUUGGUCAAGAGACCUCCCUCUCAGAUGCUGGCUCUGCCCCUGCCUUUGGGGGUCGACCCUUGUACUCGCAGGACCUUAGGUGACUCUAUUCUACUUCUCUGAUCAUCCAGGAAGCCAACCUGCCUGAGGACGAGUCAUACUCUGUCCUCCCACCCCAGGCCAGAGAGUGGUAUCUGUCUUUCCACAAGUUAAAGCACAGGUGGUGAAGUGUCUCAUUUCAAGUUGUUGUGGUUUUCUGCCAUGGAGGAAAGUGUUGAAAAAAAAGGGAACUAUACAGCAUAAAGAUGGGUUUUCACAGAUCCUGUCAAGGGAUCUGAAUGAUGCAGUGUCGCAAUCCCAUUUUAUAAAUGAGGCAACCAAAACUCGAACAGGACCAUAUUGCGACUGAAACAAGGCAUAACAGGUCUUUGACUGGCUAUCCUGUGGAUGUGGACUCAGGCUAGCCUGCGCAAAGUGAAAGACAGGCAAUUAGAUUGAAAAAUACCUGUGAUUCAAAGAAGUCACAAGUCACAGAGACAAACUUUUCCCAGUGUGUUCGAGUCAGAGAACCUUUGCAAAGACCAACAGGCUAAAAGAGAAAAUACAAUGUCAUG